rnacentral:rRNA from 1 species
UAGUCCACGCCGUAAACGAUGGAUACUAGUUGUUGGACUUUUGUUCAGUGACUAAGCGAAAGUGAUAAGUAUCCCACCUGGGGAGUACGUUCGCAAGAAUGAAACUCAAAGGAAUUGACGGGGGCCCGCACAAGCGGUGGAGCAUGUGGUUUAAUUCGAUGAUACGCGAGGAACCUUACCAGGGCUUAAAUGUAAGUUGCAUAAGGCAGAGAUGCUUUUUUCUCGGACUACUUACAAGGUGCUGCAUGGUUGUCGUCAGCUCGUGCCGUGAGGUGUCAGGUUAAGUCCUAUAACGAGCGCAACCCCUAUCAUUAGUUGCUAGCAGGUCAUGCUGAGGACUCUAAUGAGACUGCCGGUGCAAACCGUGAGGAAGGUGGGGAUGACGUCAAAUCAUCACGGCCCUUACGUCCUGGGCUACACACGUGCUACAAUGGUAUAUACAGAGGGCAGCUACUUGGCAACAAGAUGCGAAUCCUAUAAAGUAUAUCUCAGUUCGG